GAGUUUGAUCCUGGCUCAGGACGAACGCUGGCGGCGUGCCUAAUACAUGCAAGUCGAGCGAAUCAUUAGGAGCUUGCUCCUUUUGGUUAGCGGCGGACGGGUGAGUAACACGUGGGCAACCUGCCUGUAAGACUGGGAUAACUUCGGGAAACCGGAGCUAAUACCGGAUAAUCCUUUUUCUCUCAUGAGUAAAAGCUGAAAGUCGGUUUACGCUGACACUUACAGAUGGGCCCGCGGCGCAUUAGCUAGUUGGUGAGGUAACGGCUCACCAAGGCGACGAUGCGUAGCCGACCUGAGAGGGUGAUCGGCCACACUGGGACUGAGACACGGCCCAGACUCCUACGGGAGGCAGCAGUAGGGAAUCUUCCGCAAUGGACGAAAGUCUGACGGAGCAACGCCGCGUGAGCGAUGAAGGCCUUC
rnacentral:rRNA from 1 species